rnacentral:tRNA from 2 species
GCGGGUAUCGUAUAAUGGUUAUUAUAUCAGUCUUCCAAAUUGAUGAAGCGGGUUCGAAUCCCGCUACCCGCU